rnacentral:rRNA from 1 species
AACGAACGCUGGCGGCAGGCUUAACACAUGCAAGUCGAGCGCCCCGCAAGGGGAGCGGCAGACGGGUGAGUAACGCGUGGGAAUCUACCGUGCCCUACGGAAUAGCUCCGGGAAACUGGAAUUAAUACCGUAUACGCCCUACGGGGGAAAGAUUUAUCGGGGUAUGAUGAGCCCGCGUUGGAUUAGCUAGUUGGUGGGGUAAAGGCAUACCAAGGCGACGGUCCAUAACCGGUCGGAGAGGAUGAUCAGCCACAUUGGGCCUGAGACACGGCCCAAACUCCUACGGGAGGCAGCAGUGGGGAAUAUUGGACAAUGGGCGCAAGCCUGAUACAGCCAUGCCGCGUGAGUGAUGAAGGUCUUAGGAUUGUAAAGCUCUUUCACCGGUGAAGAUCAUGACGGUAACCGGAGAAGAAGCCCCGGCUAACUUCGUGCCAGCAGCCGCGGUAAGAC